GACGAACGCUGGCGGCGUGCUUAACACAUGCAAGUCGAACGGUGAAGGGACCAGCUUGCUGGUUCUGGAUGAGUGGCGAACGGGUGAGUAACACGUGAGUAACCUGCCCCCUUCUUCUGGAUAACCGCAUGAAAGUGUGGCUAAUACGGGAUAUUCUGGGUCUGUCGCAUGGCGGGCCCGGGAAAGAUAUUGCUUCGGUGGGGGAUGGGCUCGCGGCCUAUCAGCUUGUUGGUGGGGUGAUGGCCUACCAAGGCGGUGACGGGUAGCCGGCCUGAGAGGGUGGACGGUCACACUGGGACUGAGACACGGCCCAGACUCCUACGGGAGGCAGCAGUGGGGAAUAUUGCACAAUGGGCGCAAGCCUGAUGCAGCGACGCCGCGUGAGGGAUGGAGGCCUUCGGGUUGUAAACCUCUUUCGCCAGUGAAGCAGGCCUGCUCCUUGUGGGUGGGUUGACGGUAGCUGGAUAAGAAGCGCCGGCUAACUACGU
rnacentral:rRNA from 1 species